GAUAAAAUGGCUGAGAUAAAAUAGGCGUCAGAUUGUAAAUCUGAGAAGAAGUAAUUACUUUUUUGUCA
rnacentral:tRNA from 1 species